rnacentral:lncRNA from 1 species
UCCCGGCCCCCUGCACAACCUCGCUCCUAUCCGCAGCUCUUCCCGGAGGAUUUUAGGAGUCCCUUCUCCCCUGGGACCCUUCUCCUCCCUUCCCAAUUCCGCUCCUCCCAGUAUCCGGAAGCGGGAGGGGGGGAUGACCCCCCCUUGACCUCUCCCUCCGGGAGCCGGGACCAAAAUAACCGGGCGGGAGGGGACACCUCGCAGGUAAACAUUCCCCCAGCAGCCCCGACACUGGCGGUGUGGGGCGCCGAGAGUGCACUCACUGCCCCCUAGUCUGUCCCCAAACUCCCUCAACUUGGGGUGGGGGGCGCGGGACUGGAACAAUAGGCAAGAAAACAAUGCCUGACCCGGUCCUCCAGGACCGGGCGGGGGGAGCCCCCUGACGCCUCCCUUCCCUUCAGGUGGGGUGGGGGAGGGGCGCCCGAGCCCCAGGAGGUCCCCGGAGGGCGCGGCCGGGGGCUCCCUGCUCGCGCCGCCCCCGGGGUCCCGCCGCCCCCCGCGGGCCACCCCCGUACCUUGGUGGACAGCCACGCUGCACGCGUGCCCAUCACAGUAGACCAGCGGGUUCUCGGCCCAGCCCCUCUCGUCCGAACAUACGCAGCAGCCUCCUACCAUCUCCUUCAUACUCCCAUGAGCUCCCUCCGGGGCUGGGGCGGGGGGCCGGCCGGCGGGGGUCGGGGGUCAGGGGGGGAGGGAGGGAGCGGGGGGCCGCGCGCCUCCUCGCUCCCUCCUCCUCCUCCUCCGCCGCCGCCGCUUCUUUUCUUUGCCUCCUCCUUCCUCCUCCUCGGCGUCCUCCUCCUCCUCCUCCUCGCUCGCUCUGUCUGGCCGCCCCCCCCGCCGUGCUCUCGCCCUCAUGCCCCGACGGGCCCCCCCCCCCGCAACAAUGAGACCCGCGCGCCGGGUUCGCCCCCUCCGCGCCGCGCGCCCGGCUACCAGGGCCGCCCGGCCGCCGCACAGCCCGGGCCCGGCGGGGGAGGCGCCGAGUGGCACAUCGCGGGCGCCCGCCCGCCCCGCGCCCGCCCCGCGCCGCCCGCUCACGCGCCGCCCCCCCGGCCCCCCUGCCCGGCCGCGGCAGCCAUGGCCGCGCGCCUCCGCUCGCUCGCUCCCGGCCCGCCCGCCGCCCGCCGCCGGGUAAAGUCUUAGGUUCAGGGAACAAAGCCUGGCUUGGUAGGGAGCUUUUCGCUCGCUCACUCGCUCGCUCGCUCCGCGCGUAUUUUCCCUCUUUCUUUUUCUUUCGGUGGCUGUCGGUUGUUGCGCCUGAGCUUUCCCUGUGCCUGCCCUUGCGUCUCGGGCCGGGGUCCCCGAUUCUCCAUACCCCUCCGCCCUUGUCUUCGUCUCUUGAACCCCGAGGAAACUCAGAGGUGGAGAUCGGAGGAAGGGGCGCUAGAAGGAACAGGAGCUACGUGGGCCGCUUGCCCUUCCGUGUCGGGGGUGCUCUUUGGGUGGCCGUUCGUGGGCUCUUUCCUCGGAGGCCCCUCUGGAGGGUAGACACUUUCACACGCAGACGUUUGUUCAUUACACAAAUAUUUAUUGAAUGCUUACUGUGUGCAGCCGCUGGGAUAGAGCAGUGAAACAACAUACAAAACAGGUAUAGAUUCCUGCCCUCAGGGAGCUUCCGAUCCAGCUUAUAGACUCAGGCGCGCGCGCACAGGGACUCAGACCCCUUAGAAGCACACCGAGGCACCCACGGACACACAAACUCACCCCCAGCCUCAUCCAGCCACACCACCGGACUCUCCCAGAGACACAAACCUCAGGUCCGACCCCGCAGGCACGCUUAUAGACCCACGCCAGUUAAAGACCCACGACUACGGAAGUGCCUGCAAACAGCACAGUUACACUUGACCUCUAGGCAAACACACCAGCACACAACAUAAACUCACACACAGCACCCCCAAAGGAUCAAAGCCUGACAUUGGGUCUGGGAAGAAGUGAGGGGCGUCAGCCCGAUGGCUUUAUCCCAACACCGGAGUGGACCAGGGGGACGCAAUCUGAUCCCCCUUCCCACUUCCUAAAGGGGGGGACGGACGCCCUCAGGGACCAAAGGUCACGCUCCCUCCGCGGGAGGUGGGGUGGCGGAGGGGAGAAGGGAGUCCGGAGGGCUUCAGCGACACUUCAAAGACCUUGCGCCCGGGAACGCUUCCUGCGGGGGAGGGGCAGACGGAGAGGAGAGGGGAAGAGCGGCAGGGGUACUUGCGGGUGGAGGAGGUUGCCCCCCUCUUCCGCGCACUGCCCCCCUGGCCGACUCUUCCGCCGGGACCGCCUCCUUUUCACCCGCACCUGUUCAACCGGAACAUCAAGGGGCCAGGACCCGCCGCCACCCCUCCCCUCGCGCCUAUUUAGUACCUUUCAUCCGGGAAGCGGGAGGGGGGGGUGUGUGUGAAUCCCCGCCCAGGAGGGGGGGGGAGUAGGACGGGGGAGAACUUGUCCUUGACCUGGUCUUUGGCGUCAGGGAUUUACUCCCUAAUCCCAGCGACACUGGCGUUUGGGGAGGUCGGGGAAGCUGAGCCCUGGGCUGCAGCCCUCCACCUCCCUCACUCCGGCGAGGACCCAAGAAUCCCGGAGGGCUGCCAGGACGUAGAAGCUCUAAACGGGCGCGGCGGGGAGGAGGCCCGUCUCUGCUGCUUCCGUGCCUGGGGGAGGGGGCCGAGAGCUAGGGGUUGUCGGGGCCGGCCGGAGGACCCGGAUUCCUGCGAGGACCGGGAUCCCUGCGAGGACUGCCAAAAGCCGGUAUCCUGGUCCGCUUUGUGAACUUCGCUCAUACGAAAAGUUAAGAAAAAGACGAGAAGUCUCACUUAGGAGUUUCUAACGAAUUACUUUUACUGACAAGAAUAAAACUUGAAGAAAAUUAAA